UACAGAGGGGGCGAGCGUUGUCCGGAUUUACUGGGCGUAAAGAGCGUGUAGGCGGCCAAGCAGGUCCGUUGUGAAAACUGGAGGCUUAACCUCCAGACGUCGACGGAAACCGCGCGGCUGAGAGUCCGGAAGAGGAGAGUGGAAUUCCUGGUGUAGCGGUGAAAUGCGCAGAUAUCAGGAGGAACACCGAUGGCGAAGGCAGGUCUCUGGGCCACUACUGACGCUGAGAAGCGAAAGCGUGGGGAGCGAACAGG
rnacentral:rRNA from 1 species